GACGAACGCUGGCGGCGUGCUUAACACAUGCAAGUCGAACGGAAAGGCCCUGCUUUUGUGGGGUUCCCGAGUGGCGAACGGGUGAGUAACACGUGAGUAACCUGCCCUUGACUUUGGGAUAACUUCAGGAAACUGGGGCUAAUACCGGAUAGGAGCUCCUGCUGCAUGGUGGGGGUUGGAAAGUUUCGGCGGUUGGGGAUGGACUCGCGGCUUAUCAGCUUGUUGGUGGGGUAGUUGCUUACCAAGGCUUUGACGGGUAGGCGGCCUGAGAGGGUGGCCGGGCUCAAUGGGACUGAGAGAGGGCGCAGACUGGUACGGGAGGCAGCGGUGGGGAACAUGACACAGCGGGCGGGAGCCUGAGACAGCAGCGCCGCGUGCGGGAUGACGGCCUUCGGGGUAUGAACCGCUUUCGCCUGUGACGAAGCGUGAGUGACGGUAAUGGGUAAAGAAGCACCGGCUAACUACGUG
rnacentral:rRNA from 1 species